rnacentral:misc_RNA from 1 species
GUGAAGAACGUAGCGAAAUGCGAUACGUAAUGUGAAUUGCAGAAUUCAGUGAAUCAUCGAAUCUUUGAACGCAUAUUGCGCUCUCUGGUAUUCCGGAGAGCAUGCUUGUUUGAGUAUCAGUAAACACCUCAACUUCCAUAUCUUUUUUGAAAUGGGAGUUGGACUUGAGUGAUCCCAACGCUUUUCCUCACCGAAAAGCGGCGGGUUACUUGAAAUGCAGGUGCAGCUGGACUUUUCUCUGAGCUAUAAGCAUAUCUAUUUAGUCUGCCUAAAAAACAGAUUAUUACCUUUGCUGCAGCUAACAUAAAGGAGAUUAGUUCUUGUGCUGACUGAUGCAGGAUUCACAAAGACAGGCUUCGGCCGACUUUGUAAACUCGAUCUCAAAUCAAGUAAGACUACCCGCUGAACUUAAGCAUAUCAAUAAGCGGAGGA